rnacentral:tRNA from 1 species
CGGGAUGUAGCGCAGUCCGGUUAGCGCACCUGGUUUGGGACCAGGGGGUCGAUGGUUCGAAUCCAUUCACCCCGA